GCUGGGUACAGCGUGUGCCUAUAGUUCCAGCUACCAGGAGGCUGAGGCAGGAAGAUCGCUUGAGCCCAGGAGUUCUGGGCUGUAGUGAGCUAUGUCGAUCAGGUGUCCACACUAAGCUCAGCAUGAGUAUGGUGACUCCCGGGAGUGCGGGACCACCAGAUUGCCUAAGGAGGGGUGAACCAGCCCAGGCUGUUAACAGAGCAGGUCAAAACUCCCAUGCUGCUCAGUAGUAGGAUUGUGCCUGUGAAUAGCUACUGCACUCCAGCCUGGGCAACAUU
rnacentral:SRP_RNA from 1 species